CCCGGUACACAAACAAGGUAUCUUUGCAGAGAAUAGCAUUCCUGUUUUUGAUUGCAGGCGUCGUGAGGAGUCAAGCAGUCAAUAAUGGGGUUGCUUUUGAUUUUAUUUGGAGUUCUUUUUGCUGUCUCUAUAAGUGAGGGAAAUGUCUCUGUCCAAACCAAUUGUAACUAUACUAGUAGUAACAGUCACAGUGGAGAGUUUACU